rnacentral:lncRNA from 1 species
CAAAAGGCCCACGUUAUAUGCCAAAAGAGAAGGGAAGUCUUCAGUAUGGAAUCACACAAGCUCCUUCUUUCCUAAACCUCUUUCUCCCUAAAGCGAAAUCCGAUCAUUCCUCUGUUUCUAUCCACAUAACCCAAAUCGAAGCCCAAAAUAUACAAACUCUAAAUCUUCAAAUCUAAAUUAAAUGCAAGUGAUACCAAAUUCUAACCUUAAAACUUAGGAUUAUAUAUCCUCUAUGAUAACUAUAUCCUAUGGUAACGAGAAACGGAUAAAACAAGCAAGUUUGAAUGGGAUGAACCAACCUUCGAAGCGGCGAGUUGGUCAGGUCAAGAUUGUAAGACUUGAAGGCGAAGAUAAUAGGAAAACUAGAGAUGCUUCGAAUGAGGUAAGAACUCGAACUCCAAGCUCCACAAUGUUAUCUUCUUUUACUCCUUAUUAUGUGUAUAAUUUGUAGGUGAUUUCACGUGACCAUGUGUUGCUCUUAUUACUGUGUUCUUGUUUGAGAUUGAUAAGAGUUAAGGGUGGAGAGAUGAAUUUGUGGUGAGAAUGUUAAGAGAUUGAGAUCAAAAAUCAGAGUGAAGGUGUGAGAAUAGGUGAUAAUGAUUGGUGAAGUUAUCACAAAUGAUUGUUCAUAAUGAGUGAAGAUGUGAGAAUAGGUGAUAAUGAUUGGAGAGAUGAAUUGAAGUUCAGUUGUGUUCAAAUGGAAGAAAAUGUUAAUAUGUUAAAAUUAUGUUGUGAAUUUAUUAUGUCAGUAACUGUUAUGAAGGUUUGUUAUAGUAUGUUGAACUUAGUUACAUCAAUUAAUUAUUGUUAGAAUAUUCAAAGCUAGUUGGUUAAAAAUUACAAAACUUGGUUAAUCUAAUUUGAUGUCAAAAAUUAUUAUGUGUUCAUGAAGUGUGUUAAAACUCUGUUAGUAAAAAUUAAAAGUAUGAUCUAUCACAAGAUAUGUUAAUAGGUGUUAAGAACAUUAUGAGAACGUGAACUUGGUUAGUAGAGUUACAACUUAGUAAAAGUUAGUUGUAAAAGUUUAGCUAAAUUGGAUGGAAUUUGAUGCUAUGUUGAAAUUUGAGUUAUUGUUAGUGAAUACAUAGUUUUUUAGGAGAACUUCUUGAAAUAGGAAAGGUUAAUUGUUAGUUAAACUCCCUUUAGUUAGUGUGAUGUUAGUAUUAAAAUCAAUGCAAUUGUUUGAACAUGAUGAAGGCCAAGCCUUGAAUGAUUGUUAGUGUAGUAUUUGAGGUUAUGUUAAAUGAGAUGCUUAUUAGAAUAAUUAUGCAAUGUGAGCCACUUAGAUUUUGUUUGUAGGUAUGCUUUUGACCAUGUUUUGAAUAUUGGCAAAGUCUUUGUGUACUGAACUUGAUUAAUGUUUAUGCAGGGCUAGUGUGAGCUAUAUUUGUGUCAUGAAACACCCUCCAUGAGGAUUUGGUCAAGGUAUGAAGGUUAACACAAGGGUCAUGAAGAAAAUUGAAAUAAAAGGUUCAUGAAGACAACAUCAAACAUGGGAUGGCUUAUAAAAUGGAGAAGAAAAUAAAUGGGGGAAGUAGGGUUCAGUUGGUUGACUUUGGUCAAAUGUUUGACCAAAAGUCAACAAUUGACCCAAAAGUCAACCUAGGCCAAAAUUAUGUUUCUUUUUUUUGUGUAAUGAAACUUUGAAAAUUUGUAGUGAAAUUUGGUUUUUGAAUUGUAGCAUGGUUUGAAAAAUGAAAAAAAAAUGAGUUUUCCCUCCAAGAUUUGAAUUUGAAAGCUUGAAAUGUGUAUGAAAUUGCAUCUUUAAUGAAUCUUGGGCUUUGAAUGAAACUUGGAUCUUUGCCUUGAAUGCAUGAAUCAAGCAAUAAUCAAUAGUAAUCACUAA